rnacentral:rRNA from 1 species
GUGACGAUAGCGAAGAGGUCACACCCGUUCCCAUUCCGAACACGGCAGUUAAGCUCUUCAGCGCCGAUGGUAGUUGGGGGUUUCCCCCUGUGAGAGUAGGACGCCGCCAAGC